CGUGAUGGACAUCUCGUCGGAAGUUAUGUGGUUAGAAUUUUGUUGUUGUUAUAAAACAAAUACAGACCUGCUAUGACACUAGUGUGAACACUAAAGGAACGAGCCUAAAUUGAGAACAUCACGAGAGGUUGUCUGAGUUCGGUUGGCAUGAAUUCCGCGGUCCGGUUCCCUUUUUUAGGACACUGAACACAAAACUCCCCAGGUUAUUUUGUCAUUAUUCCCGCACUACACUGCUGCAACAACAUUAACCCCUGCCAUAGCCCCUCACAUUAGUGCCACAAAAUUCAGAUUUUAGUCCAGAUUAUUUGUUUGCAAUAUGUGAUCUAUAGGCUAAGAGAGCUUCAUUAACUGUUAAUUCGAUUGUGGGGUUUGAAUAGUGUGAGAAGACGACAACAUGUUUGGUAAGAAUCAUAACAUAUGGUACAAAAUAUAUACUAGCUCUUAAAGGGGCAGUAGCCUAAAUUGGGUGUACAAUUGUCAAUUACAGCAUGAUUUAAUCUGCAGUUAUUCUGUUACCAAUAAUAUUUACAUGUUAAUAGUAUCUUCUGCUUACAAUUAUGUCUCACUUUUUAAAUAAAUGCAAUAUAUUAGCUUCCAAAAUGUAAGUAGGUAUAAGGUAUAUCUAGCUGUCCGAUAACACAGUCUGAUGGAAUGGCUUGUCCUGCACUUUGUAAAAACCCACAGUACAUUGAUUGAAUGUUGGAAAAAGAUCUUGGUUCCUUUCUAAACAUAGCAAUGUAAAUGCAAGGAGGACUCGGACCACAAAAUAGGUGAAGUGCAUAGGCAAAAGAGUUUCAGUCCUUGUUCAAAGGUAAGGGCGGUGUGAAUACAAAGAGAACUGAGAACUUUUCCUUUUUUUCUACCCCAGAGUUCACUUGAAAUAGGACUGUGUGAAAACACCCUAAAUGUCUAUGGUUUAUAUACGGUCUAUGGUUAAGACUCCUUUUGUCCUGACCUAGAUGAAGGUCUGAACUCUAUUUUAAAAGUACUGAAUUUCUUAUUCAUUUAAGUUCGUUGUAAUAGUCUUCGAACAAAAUGCUUACACCGGACUACAAGAAAGCUUUGCUUGAACGAAUCUCCUAAACUGUCUGCUACGGUGCUGUCCUUGGUUGCGCUUAUCCUCGACGAUUGUAAUUGCACUUUAAAUACACCAGAUGGAGAUGUUGCCACAAGAAUCCCAAGGUUUUGACCCUGAAAUUAAUAUGGAGAUAAUUUUUAUAAAUACAUUGUAAAUCUGUACAUGUGAGUUCUUCAAUGGGGUUUCAGUGUUAUAUUGUGUUUGAAGUAGUAUGUCUUUGCUGGUGUUCUCUGGGUCUGAUACAGUCAACACGGUGGAUUCGGGCCUAUUCUGACUCAAGGGACUCGGCAUCGACUCCGACUCGGGGGACUUCAUAAAGGCCGAGCUCUUCCUGACUCCAGCGGAAUCAUAUUAAGCUACUCGGGUUCUGGCUAAUGGUACUCGAGCCGAGUACACUUCAGCAUACCAGGCCCAAUUCAACUUUUUCAGAAGUAUGCCAUAUGAGGUAUUUAUUCGUCAGAUGAUGGAAGAAUAAAGAAAAAAACAAAU